UCUUUGUAGUAUGGAUCCAGCUGUUUCUGUAGCCAGCUGAGGUUGCUGGCUGAACUGAGACUUGGAGCUAACCUGGAGCAGAGAUGGAACUGUGUUGGUGUUUGUCUCUUCUUGCCCUCGCCUCUGUGGGAAACCUUCCUGGACUCAAACUGGCUGCUGCAUUUCCUUCAUUGCAAGAGUGACUACGAAAGUAUUUCAUGUCAUCUGAUGUGGUAGUUGAAUAAAUAAGAUUUGAGUUA